rnacentral:rRNA from 1 species
GGAAAAGGACAGCUGAGAGGGUGAGACUCCCGUCCGCCUGGUAGAGUGAGUCAUGUGUCAACGAGUCGAGUUGUUUGGGAUUGCAGCUCUAAUUUGGUGGUAAAUUCCAUCUAAAGCUAAAUAUUGGUGGGAGACCGAUAGCGUACAAGUACCGUGAGGGAAAGAUGCAAAGAACUUUGAAAAGAGAGUUAAAGAGUACCUGAAAUUGCUGAAACGGAAGCGAAGGAAACCA